rnacentral:rRNA from 1 species
UACGUAGGUGGCAAGCGUUGUCCGGAUUUACUGGGUGUAAAGGGCGUGUAGGCGGGAACGCAAGUCAGAUGUGAAAUGCAGGGGCUUAACCCCUGAGCUGCAUUUGAAACUGUGUUUCUUGAGUACUGGAGAGGUUGACGGAAUUCCUAGUGUAGCGGUGAAAUGCGUAGAUAUUAGGAGGAACACCAGUGGCGAAGGCGGUCAACUGGACAGCAACUGACGCUGAGGCGCGAAAGCGUGGGGAGCAAACAGG